UUGAGAGGGUAAGGCUCCCAGUAGACGACUGGGUUGAUAGGCCGGAUAUGGAAGCACGGUAACGUGUGGAGUUGACCGGUACUAAUAGGCCGAGGGCUUGUCCUCAGUUG
rnacentral:rRNA from 1 species